rnacentral:rRNA from 1 species
UGGGGAAUUUUGGACAAUGGGCGCAAGCCUGAUCCAGCCAUGCCGCGUGUGUGAAGAAGGCCUUCGGGUUGUAAAGCACUUUCGGACGGAACGAAAUCGCGCGGGUUAACAGUCCGCGUGGAUGACGGUACCGUAAGAAGAAGCACCGGCUAACUACGUGCCAGCAGCCGCGGUAAUACGUAGGGUGCGAGCGUUAAUCGGAAUUACUGGGCGUAAAGGGUGCGCAGGCGGCCCCGCAAGUCAGGCGUGAAAUCCCCGAGCUCAACUUGGGAAUGGCGCUUGAAACUACGGGGCUGGAGUGUGGCAGAGGGAGGUGGAAUUCCACGUGUAGCGGUGAAAUGCGUAGAUAUGUGGAGGAACACCGAUGGCGAAGGCAGCCUCCUGGGCCAACACUGACGCUCAUGCACGAAAGCGUGGGGAGCAAACAGGAUUAGAUACCCUGGUAGUCCACGCCCUAAACGAUGACGACUAGUUGUUGGAGGAGUUAAAUCCUUUAGUAACGAAGCUAACGCGCGUAAACGGCCGCCUGGGGAGUACGGUCGCAAGAUUA